CAAAAGGCCUAAACUGCCUAAAUGGUCUAAAGGACCUAAAUGGGCCAGAGGGCUUAAAUGGUCAAGAGUGCCUAAAUUGUCUAGAGGGCCUAACUGGCUCAAAUGGGCUAAAAGGGCCGAAAUGGCACAAAGGCCAAUUUUGUAUAUGUACGUUGUUAGGUUAGGUUCGUUUAGGCUAGGUUAGUUUAUGGCGGAUUGAUAGAUUGGGCUGUUUGUUUCCAAGGUCAGAGUGGGCUUCAGUGGCCGAAAGGGUCUAAAAUCCCCAAUGGGCCGAAUGGGCGAUAUACUUAAGUGACAAUACCCGUUAACCCUGUUGAUAUUCGAAUCUGGUACGGACAGAAUACAAGUUUAAAGCAUUUAAACAGUACCUAACAGCCCUACAUUUUGCGGGGUAUUAAAGUUAUUUCAAAAUAUACUAAAGAUGAAGAAAGCUGAGUUCUCAUGAUACGCUUACAAUUUGUUUCUGUGGUAAUAAUUCGAUAAAAUCCAAUUCUAGACAGACAAAGGGGAUACGCGUUCGCGCUGUAUGUUUUGAUUCCUGGAACAGAUUGCUCUAGGAGAGAAACAAUGAACGUUUAUAAAGUCGUUGUUUCAAUGAAAUACGAACACCACCCGAUCUGUUAUCCUCUUGCAUAACCAACCCAUAUUGUGGCCACCGAUUUUGUGAUUUUUCGUCAAAACGAAAACGCCAGUCAUUGCAAUUAGAGACAGUACAAAAGAAAGCUUAUUCACCUCACACAUUGCUUUUGCCAAAUACAAUCCACAAUCAUUCAAAAAAUACAUUCAUGGGUCGCAAUUGUAUAAACACUACAGACCUCUAGUAGCUAAGCCAUUAAAUAUAUGAAGCGUGUACAGUGUAACCAAUGCGACUAAAUUUCUCUUGCUUGUUAGUGACAUUUGUAAAUGUGAUUUAAAAUGUAUGUUCACUACAAAAGUAGCUGUUACAUGUUACUUAUAAUCUAUAAUGUUGUUGUACCCUACAUACUAUAUAUUUUGUACCUAAAAGAAUUUAGUUGUGAAUUAAUAGAGAUAGUUGAUGGGAGAUUGGUUUGCCUGGCUGCAAUAAAGAUGGCGGAAGUCUUGUUGUGUAGUUAAGCCAACGUUUUGUCUGACUUGCAUACGCGGCGAGUUUGUGUUCACUUUUCCUUAUAUUAAUAGUUGUAUUACACAAGCAGUGGGGAUAAUCUGUGUCGUUGUUUACAUGCAUGUAGGUAAAUGGCAAAUGACCAAGCUUGCUGUUUUUUGAAAAUGUUUCAAGAGGAAGUUUUGAAGUCAUAUCGCUGAACUGAGCAAAGCAAAUGAAACACAAGAAAUUCAACCAGGAAGGAGGUACCAAAAACUGCCCAGAAGUAUGAUGUUAUAAAUGGAAUUAUAAUAUCAAAUCCAAAUGAAGAUGAUUCUUCUGGUGACAAAGAGGAUGAGAUGAAGUCAUCUGGAGAUAUAAACUGAGAUUGCUGUGAUUCUGAGGGUUCAGAUGCAGAGAUGCUUGUUGGACUGAUGUGCGAAGCCCGAAGAAUGCUUCGGCUGACACAGUCUCCAAGAAUAGACAAAGAUGACUGUGAUCUGUAUUUUAGCGCCAUGUAGUCUUGUGGAUGUUUAUCAAUGUUUCAGAGGUCUCUUCAGUUGAUGUAGGCAGCAAGGAUUUCUGAGACAGUGGUAAACAUCUAUCAAACUACACAGUGUUACAACUCAAAAGACAGCCAUCUUUAUUCUCACGGUCGUGAGAACCUCAGACCCUACAAGAAUAGAACUGACCUGCUCACCUAUUUGAUUCUUCUUCUUUUAUAGCUCUCCGGUCCGUAUUCGGUCCAUGGCCUCCUCAAUUCUCCUCGUCCAUUCGGUCCUCUGUUAGGUCCAUCUGUCCGAGGCUUUCAUCGAGGUUUUGAAACAUCUACCUUUUUAUGGUGCAAGGUUGUUAGCCUUGUGACCAACCCCCAACCUGGAGGACCAGGGUACCUGUCCUAGUCUGACCUCUCCCCCUCGACCAAUCUACUCUCAGAACUUUAUCGUAGUUUUUCUGCAUUGUGGCAAUAGCACAGUUAAUACAGCCAAGUGUGACAGAUAUUGGCUAUUGUAUCAGGAGUAGAUAACGGUGAGAAACCGUGGCUCAUCUUGUGGCUUAUUGAGGUGGGUGCUUCUUAAAUCUGAAAACCUUCAUACCUUGUUAUCUUAAGGGAAUCUUAUGGCAUGGUGCUUAAGUACCAAUGUCAACUUUAUCAUUUUGUAGUUUGGAAAUUAAAUAUGAUAAAAAAACAGUGCCAAGACCAUAGUUGUUUGAGGAGAUUACAGGAAUAAAGGCCACAACCCCAAACAAGUGUUUUGGGUAUCAGUCCCAGUGAAGAUUUUUCUGUACCUUAGAAAUUAAUUAUGGUAGAAGAACAUGGGUAAGACCAACGUUAUUUGUUUUGAUAGUGAUAAUAAAGUAUCAAAGGUCUCGGACUCAAAAAGGCUGUCCUGAUAUCAAGUCUGAGUGAAGAUGUUUUCUAUAUUUUGGAAAGUGAUGUGAUAUAAGAUGAUGGAUAAGAAUGGCGAUUUUUUUUCGGCAAGCAGACUGCAGAAUCAAACACCGCUAAAACACAGACUGAAAAAAGUGUCCCUUGUAAAACAUCUGGUAAAGAUAGUUUUUCUGAAUAUUGAAAACUAAUUGCACUAGAUGAUUGUAUGAAGACAAAUGAACUAAAGAUUAUAAAACAACAGUUUUAAUACCAAAAUUGCUCUUAUCAGAGAUAAUAUCCCCAAAAAUUAUGAGUUGGACAAGAUUUCAUGUUCAAUUCUUAAGGCAGAACAUAACAGAACUCAGAAUUUUAACAGAAUCUGCAAAAAGGAAAAUGGAGUUGGUCCCUAAGCACCUCUAAUGUAAUACUGCCUGCCCACAUUUAUGGUGUAACUGAUAUGAUGAGGAAGAAUGGGCCAAACUGAUAAGUUUUUGAAACUAAUUACUGCAGAUAAUACUGUAAAGACAAAUGUUCUUGGGUUUUGGGAUCCAUUGUUUUUAUUGUGUCAAAUGAUUGGCCUAAGAUCAGCUUUGGGACAAGAAACAUUGAUAAGAAAAUGUUAACAUUCCUCAGAUUUCUGCACAGUAACAGUUCAGGUGCUGUGCUAGUUUUAAUAUGGUUAAACACAUUCGGCCAAUUAUCAUUUCUUGCAUUUAGGCAUGUGUCCAUUUCGCUUUGCAAAAUCAGGAUUAAUCAUUCAACACAGAAGAACUGAAUUAACCUUUUAAAGCCUGAUUAUUUCUGUUAGCAAUACUAAGGAGUUAAUCUUUGUAAUUAAUGGAGGUGUGGACUGAGUUUUAGAAUAUUAUUUAGAUGAGCUUUGUGAUUCAAGGGUUAAGAGUCUUUUGAAUUGUAUUGGACAAAGCGAGAUACUUGAGAACCAAAGUGAGUCUAUUAUGUUUAAUGAUCAGACCAUUAGUAAUCUAAAAUGGAGAAAAAUGCAAAACUGUUGUCCAAAUUAAUAAGCCUCGAAUCACUUUUAUUUUCUUAUAGGAAGGAUGACAUCACAACCGAGUGUGAAAAAAAGGAAACCAGAAAAUUAAAUUUGAACAGAUGGCACUGUUUGGAGCAAAAAGCUUGUAAAGACAUCAGAUUCUAUUCUUCAUGCUUAUGAGGUCCCAGUAUCAGUUCUUUGCCCAGACCCCAGUUAUCCUGACUGAGGUUUUAUGUUCUUUUCUUGAUUCAUCCAGCCAAGGAAUUAAAUUUGAAUGGCCAUGGCAUCUUUCAGUUCAUCAUGAACAGUUAUUCACCCACUUGACAUUGGAUAACUUAUGCAAGUAAGAAAGAGCAAUUAAAUAAAUUAAGAGGUAUACAGGAAGCAGAAGCUACACAUAUGAUUAUUUUCCUUUAGUUACGGACCUACCACAUUCAAAAUUCUUCAGGUUUGACUGUGUCAGUACAAUUAUUGGAUCAUUUGUGGACCAUUUCAUCAGUUUCUACUCAGUUGAUAUAAUCCUGUGUUUCUCAAGUUGGUUGUGCUAAAGGGGUUUACGAGUUGAGUAGUGCUGUUUUUAUGCUGUAUUGCUGUAAGUUGUAAGAUUUUUGAUAACAUUUUACUUCCACAUUGGUUAAAACAUGACCAAACAAUUAAACCAUCUAUCUGUAUUUUAGUUGGUCAUGUUUAACCAUAAUGGUUAAGAUAAUUUUUGGUGAGGGGUCUGCAGUACCAGAAAUGUUGAUUUUAUUUCAGCCUUCUAUCCAUUGGGUAUGCCAGUCAGGGUAUGAAGCUGGUCACUCACCUCCAUUUAAAGGUAAGGAAAAAGUGGAACUAUACCUCCACUGCCAAUUUAUUUUCAUGGCAUGGUGCUUAAUAAGUACCAGGAUCAACUUUACCACAAUUUAUAGUGAUUUAGGAAGGGAUCCAUAUAAAUUUUUUAGAGAUAUCUGCUGAUAAACUAAUCUACAAUGUUGGUUGGUAUUACGUUUCCAGAUUCUGUAAUAAAAAGCUGAAUUUAUGUUACUUCAUGUCUGUUUGUUACAUGUAAGUUGUAUAUAACUUAUAUUCAAGUCAGUCCACGAAGGUCUAGUCUACUCGUUGAAUAGAAUGAAGUGAAUUCUCCAAGGUCAGUGUAAGGUAUAGCAAUAGGAGGAGGAUUUCCACCCCUCCCCCAAUUAUUUGUCUCCUAUGUAUAAUGUAAUGUGUUCUGCAAGAAUACCCCUUUUCCUAUGUUCUCUUGUGUUAUGCAGAGUUUCUUAAAUUUUUAUCCACUUAAUGUUGUGGCAGUAUACAUAUCUUCAUGCAUUGUGAAUAUGUCAAACAAGACUGGAAAGGUGUAAUCCAUACCUGAAUACACACAUGCAUUCUUUGCAAGUUCUGAAUGUUCCUAGAUGAAAUAAAAAAAAGUGUAUCAUAUCUUAA